GCCGAGGCGCGCUGUCCGGGUGGUGGGAGCUCAACCCGCGACCGCGGCUACGAUUCUCUUGGCUCCUGCCCUCGCCUUAGUCGCUCUGCGGGGUUGGUUCGGUCCCGGCACUUCCAGAGGCCUCAGGGUCCUGGUCUUGUAGAGACUUCCUGAACGGUGGCGCCUGUUCCAGUGUGUGUGCGCUAACUGCCUGUUCUGUGCCAGCCGCGCGUGGCCGAAGGGCGGGAGGACGGGGGUUGUGGAGGGGAGGAUGGAGGUUGGGGAGACAGGGCGGGGACGAGAUAAGAGGUCGGGGGGUGGGGAGGAUGGUCGCGGGGCGGUCUGGGGCUGGAGACAAGGGGCCUGAGGUGCGGGUACGCACUGAACAUUCCAACCGUCCCCAGCCGGCCGGGUUUCAGGUUUGAAAAGGUGGGAAGGUUAGCUGUCCUGGCGCUUUUCCUCCACGUGUUGUGCGGCUCCGCUGGAGUUCGGGUCCAGCACCUUCUACUCCGAGGGAGAGAGCCGCGGGGAGAGCCCUGUUCGGGCCCGCGGCUCGAACUGACCGCCGGCUCUGCCGAGCAGCCUCGACCCCAGGGCACCCCCGGGAGAGAGGGCGCGGCUCAGGUCCCUGCCCGAACCCCUGGGGUGCUGAGAGACUCCCCAGCGCCCCGCGUGGGCUCCCGGCCUCUCCACAGUUGAGGAUCCUGUAAGGGGCGAGCCCUUUUUCCCAUAAUGGCUGUAGUGAGUGGGUGUGCUUUCCCGAUUGACCCGCUGUGAGGUGAGCGAUUUUAACCCACAUCCUUACUGACUUCACAGCACAGUAGGUGCUUCGUGGCUGUCCGGUGCAAGGAUGUAUAUACACACACACCUUUGCAAAAAAAGUUUGCAUCUCUUGCCUGGCUGUUUGUUGCAAUAAUCUAUCAUUUGUCUUUUCCUUUCCAGCAUUGCAGAUGAUCCCUUGAAAAGAAGUCUGAUCACAUUCACACUCUGCUCCGCCCAUUUCACUCAGUAAAGCUGAAGUCCUGCAGUGCUUUGCUCUGCCUCCGGUCACCCCGCCAUACUCCCAGACCCUCCCUCCCUCUCACUCCACUCCAGCUGCCCUGGCCUGGUUCAGAGUCCCUGACUCUUCCCUCCCCGGAAACACUUUCUGGCGGCUCUUGUCCCCGACUCUUCCCACCUGCUCUUUCAGUCUUUGCUCAAAUGUUGCCUCUUCAGUGUGGCCUAGGCCGUCACCACCCGGCCUUCACCGCAUACCUUUUUCUCUGCAACACCUACUCAACACACCGUACUAUAGAACUUACUGGCAUGCUAUAAAUGUAUUACCCUUAUCUGUUGCCUCUAACCAAAAGCGUGUUCCAUGAGAGCCAUGGGUCCCUGCCUACUUCUGUCUUGUUUCUGGGGCAGCCUCUGUACCUGGACAUCGUAUACUCUUAACACGGAUUUGUCAAAUCAAAUGAAAUUUAACAAUACAAACUUCACAAGUAUGCAUAGUGUAGGAAAAUUCCCCAAAAUUCAAAAUUUCAGUCUACCUCCAUCUUUUCAAAUGACCACAGUGCUUUAUAAAAUGACAUGGUCCUUUGAGACUGUUUCAGAGAGUAAUUUGUGCAAAUGCAAUGUGCAAAAAGUCACAGUGGAGGUGUUUCCUCCCCCAUUCAAGAGCUGCUCUCUCUCUAAUCAGACAGCACCCCACACCCCAAGGCAGUCUGUCCAGUGCUCCUAAAGGAGAGCAGCUCCCCUUUUCCAGUUAUGGGAGAUGUGGGCAAUAAAGCAUUACUGUCAAUGCCGUGAUGUUCACUGCAACAUAUGCUUGAUGUUUUCAUAAUUUUAUCCAUCUUUUUCAGACAUCUUACUGCAGAACACUGUAUGUUUUCCAAUUAUUAUUUUUCAGAAAUGUGGUUUACAGCUUCUAUCAGGAUUAGCUUCAGCUUCAAGUGACAAAAGUCACUUGAAAUAUGAGUUGCUGAAACAAGAUGGCAGUCUCUCCCCUCAACAGGACUGUUACAACACCUUAUCUUCAGAGAACCAGGCUCUCUGCAACAUUUCAGGGACGUCGUUCAGUACCUUAUGUGGAAUUCAAGCUUAGCUGGGCAUCCUAUGUUUUAACUGGCUAACUCGUGGAACUCUCAACUUGGAUCAAGUGGUAGUGGAGUCCCAGGGACUCUGAGCAGCCAGUGUGUGAUACUGCAGGGCAGCACACCCUGGGGAGGCCAACUGUACAGAAUAAAAUUAAUGCUUUCUAUCUUUAGCAACUAAAGUUCUGAAAUAUAAAAAGGACCUCACAGCUUAACCCAUGUUAUACGGUGGGGUUUUCCCAUGAACAUCACGCGUUUCCAGCUGGGCACUCCUGCAGCAUGGCUAAGAUGACAACUCAAGUUCCCUGGGAGUGGGGGUUCCUGGGAUGUGAACCUUUCGGUGCAAAAACUGGAGAAGUUCCAGUUGGGACCCCAGGCAUAGAUACUAGGAUAAAUAGGGCCUCUCUCCUCCAGGAGCAUCAAUUUAACCCAAAGAUUCUUGGAGUCAGUUUCACAUAAGUAAUCUUGUUGAAAAUAGUAAUCCCAACAGAUCUAUUUUUCCAAAUGCACCAUUUGCAUAAAUCUCAGAAAAAAGACAACUUCAAGAACAUACCUUUGCUGGGCACCAUGGCUCAUGCCUGUAAUCCCAACUACUUGGCAGGCUGAGGCACGAGGAUCACUUGAGGCCAGGAGUCUGAGAUCAGCUUGGGCAACUGAUUUAUGGUUUGGAUUUGUGUCCAUGCCCUUCCUCUUCUGCCAUGAUUAUAAGUUUCCUGAGGCCUCCCUAGCCAUGCUUCCUGUACAGCCUACAGAACUAUGAGUCAAUUAAACCUCUUUUCUUUAUAAAUUACCCAGUCUCAGGUAGUUCUUUAUAGUAAUGUGAGGAUGCACUAAUACAGCAAUAUAGUGAGAGCUCCAUCUCUACAAAUCUUUUUUAGAAAGACAGGACAUCCUGCUGGUUCUGCUGUGAGGUGUUGUGGGUGGAAGUUCAAGCAGCGCUGCCCUAAUACAUCCACAUAUGCUCCUGGCCAUUAUUCUUAUCUAACCUACGGUGCCUGGGACACAUCCCUUUCCUCAUUGAUUUUGGCAGCCGCUUCGCCCCAGGCUGCCUAGGGAAUCUGGCAGAUGUCCCCAUCCUGUAUUGUGCCUUAAUCCGUGCACUCUUCCUGGUGCAAGUGAAUCACGUGUUCCAUCUCCACAGCUGCCCAUCUUUCUUCACCUUGGGUUCAUUCAACUGAUGGGCUAAAACAGCUCAUUUUCAACCUGGGUUUUGUUACACCACUGCACACUGGGAAAUUCUUAAAGCCAAAUCAAUGUCAGUUCAGUUUCAAAGCAGAUAGGUAAGUUGUCCAUGGCAGAAGGAAAGCUGACUUACAUUCAAAC
rnacentral:lncRNA from 1 species